AUUGAACGCUGGCGGCAUGCCAUAAACAUGUAAGUCGAACGGCAGCAUGGGAGCAAUCCUGGUGGCGAGUGGCGUACGGGUGAGUAAUAUAUCGGAACGUGCCUAGAAGUGGGGGAUCGCCCGGCGAACGACGGAUUAACACCGCAUGAGUCCUGAGGUCGAAAGCGGGGGAUGGCAAGAACUCGCGCUACUGGAGCGGCCGAUAUCAGAUUAGCUAGUUGGUGGGGUAAAGGCCUACCAAGGCAACGAUCAGUAGUUGAUCUGCUAGGACGACCAGCCACACUGGGACUGAGACACGGCCCAGACUCCUACGGGAAGCAGCAGUGGGGAAUUUUGGACAAUGGGCGGAAGCCUGAUCCAGCAAUGCCGCGUGCAGGAAGAAGGCCUUCGGGUUGUAAACUGCUUUUGUCAGGGAAGAAAUCCUCUGGGCUAAUACCUCGGGGGGAUGACGGUACCUGAAGAAUAAGCACCGGCUAACUACGUGCCAGCCGCCGCAGUAAGAC
rnacentral:rRNA from 1 species